rnacentral:rRNA from 1 species
AUACGUAGGUGACAAGCGUUAUCCGGAUUUACUGGGCGUAAAGGGCGUGUAGGCGGUCUUGCAAGUCAGAAGUGAAAUUCCUGAGCUCAACUCGGGCGCUGCUUCUGAAACUGCAGGACUUGAGUGCUGGAGGGGAUAGCGGAAUUCCUAGUGGAGCGGUAAAAUGCGCAGAUAUUAGGAAGAACACCGGUGGCGAAGGCGGCGUUCUGGACAGUAACGGACGCUGGGGCGCGAAAGCGUGGGGAGCAAACAGGAUUAGAGCCCCUGGUAGUCCACGCCGUAAACGAUGAAUACUAGGUGUAGGGGGUAUCGACUCCCUCUGUGCCGCAGUUAACACAAUAAGUAUUCCGCCUGGGGAGUACGGCCGCAAGGUUGAAACUCAAAUGAAUUGACGGGG